rnacentral:misc_RNA from 1 species
GAUGAAGAACGUAGCGAAAUGCGAUACUUGGUGUGAAUUGCAGAAUCCCGUGAACCAUCGAGUCUUUGAACGCAAGUUGCGCCCGAAGCCAUCAGGUUGAGGGCACGUCUGCCUGGGCGUCACAUAUCGUUGCCCAAUGCCUAUUGCAGUGCAAUAGGAAUUUCUAGGGCGAAUGAUGGCUUCCCGUGAGCGUUGUUGCCUCGCGGUUGGUUGAAAAUCGAGUCCUUGGUAGGGUGUGCCAUGGUAGAUGGUGGUCGAGUUAGAACGAUACCGAUCAUGUGCAUGCUCCCCAAAAUAUGGCCUCUAUGACCCACACGCGUCUUUUGACGCUCAUGACGAGACCUCAGGUCAGGCGGGGCUACCAGCUGAAUUUAAGCAUAUCAAUAAGCGGGGA